GUAAAACUGGUAAAUCUUAUUCCAGCUGUUCUGGUGAAGAGAAGAACAAAGUGCACAUAACUGAUAGUGAGGAGGAUGAUGACAGUGAUCUUCUGGGAGAAGAACUUAUGGCUAUGAAAAAUCGUGGAUCUGGAUCAAACAGUCUUACUAUGUGGAAUACUCAGUCUGACCCAGUUGACAACCUGAAUUCUAGGAAUAUAAAUCAUAUUAAAUCUUCUAAAUGCUCUGUCAUCCUUGAGGAACUUGAUACCAAUGAGAAAGGAGUUGAUAAUUCUGAAGAACUGUUUUCUGGUACUCAAGGCAGCUCGAUUGUGAAUGCUUCUCAAGAGGAAGGCGAUGAUCUUUCGGAUCAAAGAAAGAAAACUGAUGGCAUUAUUUAUCAUGAAGGUAAUCAGAAAGUUAUGCCUUCACCCAUCCCGGUGAGAAGGGUCAGUGAACGUCUUAAAAAGGAUAUGGGUAUUAAAAUUGAAGAGAAGAACAGAAGAAUGGCUGU
rnacentral:misc_RNA from 1 species